rnacentral:rRNA from 1 species
AAUAGAUACCCCGGUAGUCCAUGCCGUAAACGAUGUCUACUAGCCGUUGGGGCCCUUGAGGCUUUAGUGGCGCAGCUAACGCGAUAAGUAGACCGCCUGAGGAGUACGGUCGCAAGACUAAAACUCAAAUGAAUUGACGGGGGCCCGCACAAGCGGUGGAGCAUGUGGUUUAAUUCGAUGCAACGCGAAGAACCUUACCUGGCCUUGACAUACAGAGAACUUUCCAGAGAUGGAUUGGUGCCUUCGGGGACUCUGAUACAGGUGCUGCAUGGCUGUCGUCAGCUCGUGUCGUGAGAUGUUGGGUUAAGUCCCGCAACGAGCGCAACCCUUUUCCUUAUUUGCCAGCACUUCGGGUGGGAACUUUAAGGAUACUGCCAGUGACAAACUGGAGGAAGGCGGGGACGACGUCAAGUCAUCAUGGCCCUUACGGCCAGGGCUACACACGUGCUACAAUGGUCGGUACAAAGGGUUGCUACUGCGCGAGCAGAUGCUAAUCUCAAAAAGCCGAUCGUAGUCCGGAUCGC